GGCCAGGGUAGAAGUUAAACCAGGAGAUGGCUGUCAAAUGCAGUUGUUAGGUGUGGCACAUCUUUCUCAAGCUGCUGAGCUGAGCAGGAAAGAGAGACGUUUGUUUAUGGAUUUAUCUCAUCUAUAAGACACUCUUAUUAGAUGAACUCUAUAUCAGUUCUAUGUAGAACUCUGUACCAGUUCUAUAAGGCACUCUUUAAUCUGAAUCUUUUUAUUUGCUCAAGAGAAAAAUAAGUCUGACUUGCAUCCCAUUGAAGAUUUAGAUUGCACUGUUUACAUCUUUCACCUGCGCCGCGGUAGCGUCCUCUACCGAUGCUAUCCUACGUUGAUUUUUCCAGCAACCUGGGAAGCAACCUCAUAGGUGGUUUGGGAUGUCUUUUGGCUGUGCUUAAAAAUUUCCAACAGAUUUGCUACACAUCUUAGGAUAAAUAUGUUUCCUGUGAAUUGUGAUGAUUUCUUACAGUACAUUUGCAAGCAUGUGUAUGCAUCUGCAGGAAACAUAGCCUGGCUCUGUGAAGGAAUACUGCUGUGACCGCAAAACUGUUUCUGUAGAAUUUUCUCCGGUGUGGUCAUCCUGCCUUCAGAGGUUUCUCCAGGACGUCACCUGUAUGAGGUACACAGUGUGAUGACACACUCUGUGCUUUUCCUACUUGUGUCCACGUGAGUGUCUGGAGCUGCCCUUCAAGGAGAGCAAUAGAUGAAUGAUUCUGCCUUCCCGCUGAGAGGGAUGUGGGUCCUGCGGAUGGUCGGGGUGAAGCUUCCUCUCCUUUCUGCUGACAGCACUUCCUCAUUAAAUGCAGAGAUCUGCAAAAAGGGAAAAUAAAAACACAAGAAGAAAAAUGAG
rnacentral:lncRNA from 1 species